rnacentral:rRNA from 1 species
UACGGGGGGGGCAAGCGUUGUUCGGAAUUACUGGGCGUAAAGGGCUCGUAGGCGGCCAACUAAGUCGGACGUGAAAUCCCCAGGCUCAACUUGGGAACUGCGUCCGAUACUGGAUGGCUUGAAUUCGGGAGAGGGAUGCAGAAUUCCAGGUGUAGCGGUGAAAUGCGUAGAUAUCUGGAGGAAUACCGGUGGCGAAGGCGGCAUCCUGGACCGAGAUUGACGCUGAGGCGCGAAAGCCAGGGGAGCAAACGGG